GUGCCAGCAGCCGCGGUAAUACGUAGGGUGCGAGCGUUAAUCGGAAUUACUGGGCGUAAAGCGUGCGCAGGCGGCUAUUUAAGCUUGCUGUGAAAGCCCCGGGCUUAACCUGGGAACUGCAGUGAGGACUGGAUGGCUGGAGUGUGGCAGAGGGGGGUGGAAUUCCACGUGUAGCAGUGAAAUGCGUAGAGAUGUGGAGGAACACCGAUGGCGAAGGCAGCCCCCUGGGCUAACACUGACGCUCAGGCACGAAAGCGUGGGGAGCAAACAGGAUUAGAUACCCCGGUAGUCC
rnacentral:rRNA from 1 species